GAAGGGAAAGGAGGAAAGUAGAAAGGCAACGACGAGGAAGGAUCUAGUGGUGUUGGUGUCGUGGCGGCGGAGUUGAGAAAAAGAGAAGGAGAAGGGAGGUAGCAGUGGUGUCGGGGCCAGGCGACGGAGGAGGAAGAAAGCGGUCGGUGGCGGCGUGCUUGGAGGGCUCAACCCCGCCCGUGUCUUCCGGCACCGCUCAGACCCUGGCGUAGGUAGGAGGCAGGGAGCAGCCGGCGGCGAUGACGAAUAGGAGAGAGGACAGGACCGGAGCAGAGGGUACUGACCACCACCUUUCGGUACUCACCACCUCUCCUCCUUCCCUCCAUCCCCUUGUUGCCCCUUCCCCUACCUGCCCCCUAAGUGAGGGUCUAAAACACGGGGCUCGGUACCUACCGGCUCUCUUCCUUCACCGGAUGCGAGAAAAGAGUCCAAAAAACGUUACUACGAAAAGGCUACCUACCCAUAUCGACCAACUCCAAUUAAAACAACGGCAGAAAGGAAGCAUGCAGUAGCCUCGUAAGAGGGAAAGCGUAACUUCCUUUCUGCAACACCUACUACUAUAAUACUUAUGUUGAGGACAGUUGUAACUUCUCCACAGUCUAUCCGUUCAGAUGUCCGUACACCAAUCUCUUCGUGGAGCUUUUCUAGUCCUGCAUAAGGAUCUAACCGUUAAUACUGUCCUACCAUGCAAACUGUCACCCUACGUAGUUUCAAUAUUAUAAGUACAUUAAUGAUACAUAAAGGUGGGAAAAACAAAGAUCGACUAUGUAUCGAAAACCAUGUACGUAGUUAGGUCGAAGAAACAGGCUACGAGAUUUCUAUACACACGUCACACGAACGAAUCAAUACAAAGAGAUUUAUGUAAGAAAAAACAUGGUUAUAGUACAAUUGACUUUUGAGCGUCAUAUAUAAGGUUACUAAAAAACCACCUUAAAGGUGAUUCCAAAUAAUAGAGGUCUAGUCUACACUAAACCAAUUAUACUUUUAUCGAUAUAAUAACUUUCCGGAAUUUACUCAACUACAACACCCUUUGGACAUAACAUCACCGAUCAAGAUAGAUUCUCAUACGGGUAGAUUAUUGUUGGCCUUCCCUUCACGUUUUUUAGAUCGUAAAGAUAUUGCGAUUGAAGUAAUGAACCUAAUUUGGGUUUAUAACAAACACGAUUAAUACGUUGAAACAGAAACUCAAAAAGUAAAAAACAGGGUGUAUUAUAUAAUGGGAAAAAAUUAGACACGGGCGUACCAGAGUGAUAACUAAAAGAAUUUCAUAUAAUGGGAGAACAAAAACUUUAUUAUCUAAUUACAAGAUAUGGCCUCCAGGAUUGUUUAGGGAUAUCCAAUAAGCAUCAUGGCUAAAACUACGAAGAACUGGCCACAAAGUCUUCGGUAGCUAAAAAAAUAUAAACGUGUACGAAGGAUGUAGAAGCGAUAAAAGAGAGAAAUCACAGUGAAACUACAAGGAAACAGUGAUAAGUAUCAAGGCGGACCCCACCGGAGAUAGAACGAAAUUUUGAGGUAUACCGAUGGAUACAUAUCCAAGACAAACUUGACAUGAGUUUAGUGUAUCUCGACAAUUUGAAGGUUAAACAAGGGAACGGUAGCACACGGUAGCGGUACAAAUGAGGUCUUUUCACCUUACAAAUUUCGAAGGCACACUUCAUCAGUUUAUGAACGAAACGGAAUUUCUGACAGGGGUAGAUACAAAACCCAAAAAACCCAUACUUAAAAUAUAAAUGGACCUUACCUAGUUGGGUAAACCCUAAAAUCUUUUUAUAUACACUCACGUAGAAAGAUUAUUUUCGUAACGAAUAGUCUCGAAGAUACCAGGUACCUUGAAUCUUUACUAUCACAAUAGACAUUAAUAUUCUUUAUGGAAAGAUUAUCAUUCUUUAUGGGAGAAGACCUGAGUUUUAACAACAACCAGAAGACUAGUGAAAGUAACAGAUAGUCGAUCCGAUACUGAUGGUAUUCGAUCGUAGUAACCCCAGUUCAGUAAUACAAAUCAAAUAGAAGUCACGGAACGUCCAAUUACCAAGUGCAUUCUAACAUCGGAUGGAAGAAGCACAACUGAAGGUAUAAAAGGAAGUACAGAUGAUAUAAAUAUAUACGUGUUUCACGAAUAAAGAAACCACGUAGGUAUAAUAGUUCCAUACUCGUCUCGUCGCUCCUUACUCUACAAAAAAAACCUUCUUACUCUACUUGUAAUUGUCCCAUAGUUCCAACGACAACGGGUAGGAAUAUUUUUUUACAACAUCAAUGAGUACAUUAUAAGUGUGACAGCUACUGUUACAUAGUAUCAAUGUACUCGAGUUGGUACAAUGAACUAUUGCUCUUACAGUUAGUGUAUACGAACUAUCUGAUGUACACAAUCAUACAACGUCCUAUUGGUAAGUUUGUCCAUAAGUCAAUGUUCUCACUGUUCAUACUGCAGUACGUCUAAACAACUAGUUGUAUGUAAAAGUACUAAUACACUUACAUAUACAGAAAAACAUCUUCUUUACAUUUUCGACUUUCGAUAUCGGGGUGUAUCCUGGAACGUGACCGGUAGGUUAUUUUCGGUGUUGUCAAUUC
rnacentral:rRNA from 1 species